UGAGUGUACUGGGCAGUCGCUGCAUACAGGCGAAAGCCAUAUGCGGAGGAAAGUCCGGGCUCCCAGGAUCGUGGCGCCGGGUAACUCCCGGUGAAGGUGACUUUAAGGAAAGUGCAACAGAAAGUAUACCGCCUGUAAAGGUAAGGGUGAAAUGGUGAGGUAAGAGCUCACCGGCAGUCUGGUAACCGGCUGCUCUUGUAAACCCCGCCUGGAGCAACACCGUGAUAGGAGCAAUGGAGAUCCGCAGCUCCCAGAGGUGGCUAGAGCUCUCUGGAGACAGUGAGCCAAGAUAGAUGACUGUCCUAGACAGAACCCGGCUUACAGGUACACUCAAAGC
rnacentral:RNase_P_RNA from 1 species